AUGACCAAGAAGAAUAAAACCUAUUAUUUGGUGGGUGGGGAGGAAUAGCCUACGAGGCCUAUACAUGGCAACUGUAUUGGCAAGGUGAUGCUUUUGACGGCCGUUGCUAGGCCGAGGUGGCACAGUGAAGGAAACGUGACCUUCUCUGGGAAAAUCGGUAUCUGGCCAUUCAUGAAAGAAGUUCUUGCUCAAAGGAGAAGCGACAACAGGCCCAGAGGUACAAUAGAGACAAAAUCAAUAAAGGACGACAGAAAAGUGAUGAGGGUGUUCCUGAUAGAGAAGGUCUUGCUAGCAAUACAAGUUGUUUGUCCCGAAGGUGAUGCUGGACAGACCAUCUACAUUCAACAGGAUAAUGCUAAGCCCCAUAUCUUGUGA
rnacentral:rRNA from 1 species